rnacentral:misc_RNA from 1 species
GGAUGGAUCAUUAACACACACAUACACGUCAUUUUCUAGUUGAAAGUUAGACACGCAAGUGUUCUAGCUUUUCAAUUAGAAAAUACGCCCUAUAGAGAAUUUGUUAAAGUCCUUUAACAAAACAUAACAAACUACAUAACCGUUUUAUCUAAUUAAUAAAAGAAGAAGAAAAAACUGACGUGCCUAUGUGCACUGAAAUUUUUUUAUUCUUCCUUUAUAAACAUUAAUAUAAGACACAAUUUUUGACAAUGGAUAUCUUGGCUCGCUGGACGAUGAAGAACGCAGCGAAAUGCGAUACGUAAUGUGAAUUGCACAUGUCUGUGAAUCAUCAAAUCUUUGAACGCAAUUUGCGCCGCCAAAAGCGGCAUGCUUGUUUGAGUGAUGGUAAAAAUAACAAUCACCAUAAAACACAAGUGAAAAAUUACAAUAGCCUAUGUGCUUUGUAAGACUAGCUUGUAAUUUUGUAGGUGGCAUUGGGACUGUCUCGGGGAAUAACAUAUUCUUCGAGUCUCCUAAAAUAAGGGCAUUCAAUUCAAAUCUACUCUCAGAUUCUUAUCUGGAAGCCUCAUGGCACCUGAUAGAGUCUUGUUAGUGAGUAUGUUUCGAUGUCUACGCUCAACAACUCUUUCGAAGCAAUUAUUUGCAUUAGUAGAGUUUGUAGAGGAACCUCAUCAUAUGGAAUAUACUUACGUUGUCGAAAGACAAACAAACUCUUGAUAGCUUCAUAAGGAAAACAUCUUCCAGUUGGAUAUUUGUGAUAGAGAAUGCAUGAACACAUGAAGGUUAGUUGUUGUAAUUUCUAUGAUUAUAACAAACAACACAUCAUGUAAGGAUGUUGCUGUAAUAUAUUACUUUACAAUAAUAUACUACACACUCCUUCAAACUUAAACUUUAAAAAUCAUCCUCAAAUCAAGUAAGACUACUCCGAGAACUUAAGCAUAUUAUUACCGGAAGGAAAAGAAACUAACUAGGAUUCCCUUAGUAGCGGCGAGCGAAGCGGGAAGAGCUCAGGUUUUAAAUCUGGUAGCGACAGCUAUUCAGAAUUGUAGUCUUGUGAGUAUACAUCGGGAAAACCACCAGCAUAAGUCCUUUGGAACGAGGCGCCAUAGAGGGUGAGAGCCCCGUGCAUGGUUGGAUGGUCGUACCAACGUUGUGUGCUCUUAGAGUCGGGUUGUUUGGGAAUGCAGCCUUAAGUGGGUCGUAAAUUCGAUCUAAAGCUAAAUAUUACAGCGAGACCGAUAGCGAACAAGUAGCGUGAGCGAAAGAUGAAAAGAACUUUGAAAAGAGAGUUAAAAGUGCUUGAAAUUGUCAAAAAGGAAGCGUUUGGAACCAGUAUCGACGCGUGGCAGAAUCACGUUGAGCUAGUGGAUAAGCGCUGUCAGAGAGGUGCCGUUUCUGGUGUCAUCUGGCGGUGUGAGGCUAUUAGUAAGGCGGUACUUUUGUUACGUGUUGGUCAGCAUCGGUUGGAUUGAGUUGGCAGGAGAAAAGCUGGGGGAAGGUAGUUUGGCUGCGGCUGAAUGUUUAGACCCUGGCCUAUACUGUCCGUUCGACCGAGGGAGGAAUUCGAAAAGCGUGUGCCUCUAGGCUGGGCUCCUUGGUUGGUGUGUGUUACGACUGUGCGGGACUGUAACAGUGCCGUGUGGUCGUGGUGUGCACUCGGCUAAGAUCCACAUACACGCUCUAGAUGCUGACAAAAUGGUUUCAACCGACCCGUCUUGAAACACGGACCAAGGAGUCUAACAUAUGUGCGAGUAUUAAGGUGAGAAAAACCUUAGUGCGUAAUGAAAGUGAAGGCGGGCUCGGUCCGCUGUGGUGGGAUGCUGCCGGCUGAGGUAGUUGCACCAUCGACCGAUCUGGAUAUAUUUUUUUGAAAGAUUUGAGUAAGAGCACAUCUGUUGGGACCCGAAAGAGGGCGAACUAUGCCUGCAUAGGGUGAAGCCAGGGGAAACUCUGGUGGAGGCUCGUAGUGAUACUAACGUGCAAAUUGUUCAUCAAAUGUGGGUAUAGGGGCGAAAGACUAAUCGAGCUCUCUAGUAGCUGGUUCCCUC